rnacentral:rRNA from 1 species
GACGAACGCUGGCGGCGUGCUUAACACAUGCAAGUCGAACGAAGAGCGAUGGAAGCUUGCUUCUAUCAAUCUUAGUGGCGAACGGGUGAGUAACGCGUAAUCAACCUGCCCUUCAGAGGGGGACAACAGUUGGAAACGACUGCUAAUACCGCAUACGAUCUAACCUCGGCAUCGAGGAUAGAUGAAAGGUGGCCUCUAUUUAUAAGCUAUCACUGAAGGAGGGGAUUGCGUCUGAUUAGCUAGUUGGAGGGGUAACGGCCCACCAAGGCGAUGAUCAGUAGCCGGUCUGAGAGGAUGAACGGCCACAUUGGGACUGAGACACGGCCCAGACUCCUACGGGAGGCAGCAGUGGGGAAUCUUCCGCAAUGGACGAAAGUCUGACGGAGCAACGCCGCGUGAGUGAUGACGGCCUU